rnacentral:rRNA from 1 species
AGAGUUUGAUCCUGGCUCAGAACGAACGCUGGCGGCAGGCCUAACACAUGCAAGUCGAACGCUUCAGCAAUGAAGAGUGGCAGACGGGUGAGUAACGCGUGGGAACCUUCCCAGUGGUACGGAAUAGCCCAGGGAAACUUGGGGUAAUACCGUAUAAGCCCUUAGGGGGAAAGAUUUAUCGCCAUUGGAUGGGCCCGCGUCGGAUUAGCUUGUUGGUGAGGUAAAAGCUCACCAAGGCGACGAUCCGUAGCUGGUCUGAGAGGAUGAUCAGCCACACUGGGACUGAGACACGGCCCAGACUCCUACGGGAGGCAGCAGUGGGGAAUAUUGGACAAUGGGCGCAAGCCUGAUCCAGCCAUGCCGCGUGAGUGACGAAGGCCUUAGGGUUGUAAAGCUCUUUUGGCGGGGACGAUAAUGACGGUACCCGCAGAAUAAGCUCCGGCUAACUUCGUGCCAGCAGCCGCGGUAAUACGAAGGGAGCUAGCGUUGUUCGGAAUUACUGGGCGUAAAGCGCACGUAGGCGGAUUUGUUAGUCAGGGGUGAAAUCCCGGGGCCCAACCUCGGAACUGCCUUUGAUACUGCAAGUCUGGAGUCCGGAAGAGGUGGGUGGAAUUCCUAGUGUAGAGGUGAAAUUCGUAGAUAUUAGGAAGAACACCGGUGGGCGAAAGCGGCCCACUGGUCCCGUACUGACGCUGAGGU